UUAAAUAAUUUGGCAGUAUUUUUUAAAAUUAGAGGAUUUUGUUAUGUAAUAGAUAAUACACUUUAAAAUUUAUUUAAUUUUAUUUUUAUUGUAUAUUGUUGUCUUAAAUUAAUUUUUAAAAAAUAUUAAUUAAUAUUAUUUUAUAUUAAAUUUAAGUCAAAUCAACAUGCAUAUUAUAAUUAAAUUUUAAAUGAAAUACAUUUUUUAUAAAUUUUAUGAAUUUAAAUUUGUAAAAAUUUUUUGAAAUUGGAUUUAAAAGUAAAAUUUAAUAAAUAUUAAAUUUGAAUUUAAUAAAAAAUAUGUACAAAUUGCCCGUCGUUUUUAAUUUAAAUUAAAAUAAGUCGUAACAAGUA
rnacentral:rRNA from 1 species